rnacentral:rRNA from 1 species
GAGUCAUCGAAUCUUUGAACGCAAGUGGUGCUCGCGGGCAAUCCUGSUAUYCUGAGUGKCCCCAGGGUGGUCAGUGCGGGAAAGUUGUCUGGGAUGACGCGCCACGGAGGGUGAGAGCCCCGUCCAACCCGCACAGGAUCCAUUCGCACAGGGACGCUUCAACCGAGUCGGGUAGUUUGGGAAUGCUGCUCUAACAUGGUGGUAAAUCUCAUCAAAGGCUAAAUAAAAGUGGGAGACCGAUAGCGAACAAGUACCGUGAGGGAAAGAUGGAAAGUACUUUGAAAAGAGAGUGAAAAGCACUUGAAACCGUCACGGGGGAAGCGAAUUGCGUUAGUGAUGUUUUUGCCUGUUCAGCUUUUUUUGCCGAAGAAUUCUUCUGUUUUUUUUCCCNAUGANNGUAUUCUGGCAAAAACGUGCUUGUGUGGCUGGSGGGAGUGUGAUGARACGGNGAAUGGNUGUUCUAUUUUCAAUYUUUUCAAAUUUUUUUUUGGGAAGUUUGGUGGAAUGUUGUUCUACCGACCCUCGGCUACUCUUUUUACGCUGGUGAGGGCUCCCUCAUAUUCGAGGUGAGGACAUGAGCAAAAUGACGCAAUACGACCCGUCUUGAAACACGGACCAAGGAGUCUAGCACGGCUGCGAGUCGAAAGGUGAUUAAAACCUAUAGGGCGCAGUGAAAGCGAAGAAAAAAACAACAAAGCAAAUUGGGGAGGCGUUGCGGUUUUACCAAAAUGUCCUACCUUGAGCAUCCGUGCUGGGACCCGAAAGAUGGUGAACUAUGCCGGAGUAGGGCAAAGCCAGAGGAAACUCUGGUGGAGGCUCGUAGCGAUGCUGACGUGCAAAUCGCUCGUCGAACUUGGGUAUAGGGGCGAAAGACUAAUCGAACCAUCUAGUAGCUGGUUCCCUCCGAAGUUUCUCUCAGGAUAGCGGGCCGACAAAAAAUUCUUUUUGAAUGUUGUUUUGUGUGGUAGAGCGAAUGAUUAGUGCAUUUGGGGGCCGAAGGCCUUCGGGCGAUUCUCAAACUUCAAAUACGCAAGGGGGCCGCUGCUUCACCGUAUGGACAGGGCGAUUAGGGAAAAAAAAAUUUUUUUUUCUCCCUUUUUUCCUUUCUUGCGAGUAUGAGCGUGCUCUUCGAAAAACGUCGGCUCCGUGGGCCAUUUUUGGUAAGCAGAACUGGCGAUAAGGGAUGAACCUUAAGCGCGGUUAAGGCGCCGCAUUGCCCGCUUAUAGACCCCACAAAAGGUGUUGAUUCAUUUAGACAGCAGGACGGUGGCCAUGGAAGUCGGAAUCCGCUAAGGAGUGUGUAACAACUCACCUGCCGAAUGANUUAGCCCUGAAANUGGAUGGCGCUGAAGCGGGCAGCCGACACCGCGCCGUUCAGGCGAGAUUUUUUUUAAUUAACAUGUCUGAAUGAGUAGGAGGGCGUGGCGGUCCGUGACGCAGGCGUGGGUGCAAACCCCGCUGAAACGGCCGCUAGUGCAGAUCUUGGUGGUAGUAGCAAAUAUUCAAGCGAGAUCCUUGAAGGGCGAAGCGGGGAAGGGUUCCAUGCUAACAUUGAUUGGGCGUGGGUGAGUCGUUCCUAAGCCGAGUGGCAAUUGCUAAGUAGCGGCGAAAGGGAAGCGGGUUAAAAUUCCUGCACACAGAUAUGGAGGCGGCAACGCAAGCAGAGGCGAAGACGCUGGCGAAGGCGCUGGGCAGAGUUGUCUUUUCUGUUUGACCGACAUGGCGCUGUGUGGAAUCCGAUUAUCGGGAGAAACACGCGCAAGUAUAAAAAAUCACGGGCAGAGCGUCGGGUCAUAUCCGGCGUCCGGCUCGCCUUCGACGGCCCUUGAAAAUUCGCCCGCGGCUUUGGACAGGUGGUUCUUUUUUUUUUCCUUNGNAAAAAANGGGGGGUUUUUCCGNCCAAUUNUUUUCUGUCCAAUUUUAAAUUUCAUGCUGUGACGUACCGAUAACCGCAUCAGGUCCCCAAGGUGAACAGCCUCUGCUCAAUAUGAAUAAUGCAGGUAAGGGAAGUCGGCAAAAUGGACCCGUAACUUUGGGAAAAGGGUUGGCUCUAGUGGGGUGGGGGUAUUUUUUUAUAAAAUACUCAAGGGAGGAAAAUUUAUUUUUUCUUUUCCCUUGAGAGGGGGCUUUCGUGUGCUUACCCGAGGCCAGUCUGUCUGGUUAGGGAUUCUGCUUCAUUUCGUGGUUUUGCCUUUGAAGGAAAUUUUUUUGUUGUGUUUCCUGUCACCGGUUUCUUUGGGGGAUCUUUUUUUUCUUUCUUUCUUUCUUUUUUCUUGGAGUGUGUUGUCAUCUGGAGCUUUUCUGGGUGGGUGCAUGUGAAGAGGGGCGAGGAGGGGAGGAGGGGAGAGGUUCCAAUUUAACAAAGAAGUUGGCUCUGGGGGGAUAUGAUGAGAUUAUAUUUUUCUUAGGUGGCCUGAAUGUGUCGCACCUUGGCCGGGACCAGCCACGGGUAGGUAUGUGGGAUGCUUUUCCCGCCCUCAGCAUACCCCAGACUAGAACUGCAACGGGCAAAGGGAAUCCGACUGUUUAAUUAAAACAAAGCAUUGCGAAGGCCGUGGCCGGUGUUGACGCAAUGUGAUUUCUGCUCAGUGCUCUGAAUGUCAAAGUGAAGAAAUUCAAUCAAGCGCGGGUAAACAGCGGGAGUAACUAUGACUCUCUUAAGGUAGCCAAAUGCCUCGUCAUCUAAUUAGUGACGCGCAUGAAUGGAUUAACGAGAUUCCUACUGUCCCUAUCUGCUUCUAGCGAAACCACAGCCGAGGGAACGGGCUCGGCGGAAUCGGCGGGGAAAGAAGACCCUGUUGAGCUUGACUCUAUUCUAAUUUUGUGAAGCAAGUUAGGAGGUGUAGAAUAGGUGGGAGCUAGUUUUGGAAUUCACUUCCUGGUUAGCGGCCGUGAAAUACCACUACUCUUAAUCUUGCUUUACUUAGGGCGUAAAACUGUGCGGGGGGCUUUUCCAAUGUUUUUAUCCACGGAUGCCGGGAAAAUGGGGGUUUUUUUCUUUCAUUUCUUUGUGUGUUGCGGUGGGUGCAUUGGGGCCUUUUGAAAAACAACAUUUUCAUUGCAUCAAGCGUGCGCUUCGCUUCUUGGCGAGGUGUGCGUGAACAGAGCGCCCAACAGAUUUAGGAGGGGAGUUUGGCUGGGGCGGCACAUCUUCUACAAGACAACGAAGGUGUCCAAAGAUAAGCUCAGUGAGAACAGAAAUCUCACGUAGCGCAAAAGGGUAAAAGCUUGUUUGAUUUUGAUUUUCAGUGUGAGUUGAAAACGCGAAAGCGUGGCCUAUCGAUCCUUUCACGAUUCGAGAUUUGAAGCGAGAGGUGUCAGAAAAGUUACCACAGGGAUAACUGGCUUGUGGC